UAUCCUACCCUGUUCAGAGUAUGUGAGGAUUAAUUUCAUCUCUACGUUUCUAUCUAAGUUUGGGGUUGCUGUUGGAAUAGCAACCUUUAAGUUUGGGGUAGCUUUGCAGUAAGUGAAUGUAAAAAAAAAAAAAAGAAGAAGAAAGAAAGAGAAAAGCGAAAAACAAUAAAAGAACAGCUUUUGAAAAAUGCUACAUUCACUAUAGAUAAAAGGAAAAGAGGAAUACAAAACCCAACAAGAAGAAU
rnacentral:lncRNA from 1 species